UUGUGAAAAUACAGAGAAGAAUUGCAGCCUUUUUGAGGAUGGGGCUGGAAGAGCUAUUUUGCAUUCCUGCUCUUUCCAGUGGAAUGAUACAGAAACUAUGUUUUAACAGAUUAACUCCCAGUGUUACCUUGGAACUCUAUCAAGACUCGAUCUAUGCCAACAAAGAAUUAAAGACAAAAGAUUGAAAGGAGUUGCUACAGAAAUACAAGCAUCUCAGUUUAAAACUUCUGAAGUUACAGCAUGAGCAGGAAAAGACUUUGAAUGAACUUCCUGUUCUGCUAGUUUUCUCCCAAGCAGAAACAAUUUUAUUAGGAUAUAUGAAGAUGAAGGAUGGAAGAAUCUGGAUCUUAGCUAGCUUCAAACCAAAGACUUAAGAGAAUUAAUUAACCUUGAAGAUACUAUAGUGAUCCUAAACCACCUAUUAAAGCCUGACUAUUCCAAGACUUUACUCCAAUAUAUCAAGGUUUUUCAAGUGAGAUAAAUAAAGAGAAAACAAGCAGCAACUAACUCACUGAGAUAAUAGCUGGAUGAAGCAUUUAUUGCUGUAAAAUGAAUCACAUGGGAGAGUUUCAGAAGCAGAACUUGGAAAUAGGCCUGUCUUCAUAUACAUAGUGAUUUAUUUGAAUCUUCAACUGAUCUUUAGACCUUCUGAAAGAAAAAGGGAACUGUUUGUUUCAAUAAAGAUAUGACUGUAAGAAGUUAUGAAAAUAAACUUUUGACAAUAUAAUGAA